GUGGUUGUGGCUCAGUGGUGGAGCACUUGCCUUGCAUGCAUCAGGCACAGAGUUAGAUCCUCAGCACCACA
rnacentral:tRNA from 1 species